CGGUGCAGGAUACAUUUUUUGUUGUUGAAAAGACGGAUAUGUCUCGGCGGCUCCUCCUCCUCCCAAGACCGCCGCCGGCAUCUGCGCCUGCAAUGCCUCCCCUGCCCUAGGUCGCUGCCGCGAGGCCUAGACCAGACCUUGCCGGCCUAGACUAGACCUCGCUCCGCAGCCGCUGAACCUCCACCUCCUGCGAGCUCGAGAGGAAGACCUAGCCCAGUUGCGCCGCCGAGCUCGCCGACCCCCGCCGCGCCCACGAGCUACGUCUUGCCGCCGUCGCCGACCUAGACACCGCUGCCGCCGACCUCGAACGCUUGCCGCCGCCACCGACGUCGACACCUAACGAUCGGCGCCGAAGUGACCCCCUCGCGUCGACGUAUCAGGCAGCGAGCGCAGCGACGAAGCGGCCCUCCUCGUGGCCGAUGCAGGGAACGGUAGGGGUGUCAGCGGCGACGACGAGGUCUGCAACCACUACCUCUUAGCGAGGAACCAAAAGCAACGGCGGUCUAGGGGUUAGCGAUGGAGCUAGAGCGGUAGUGGUCGGGCCGUUCCCGAAGUUAUAGGAGUCUAUAGGUGGUCGCUUUUUUCUUCUUCGAGAUCGGGUACACCAACUGCCGCAGAGAACAGAAUAAACGAAUCGCAUAAAUACAAAGUAGUCCUACGUUCAACGACGAACUCCUCACAAUCUUAAACACUUUAUGGCUAAAAGAGAAACGGGGUUGUUGUAAUGAAACCAUGUGAGUUUUGCGGUCAACGGUCUUCAUUAUACACGAAGGAAAAGUGGUUUCUUCUAAAUAUGUUAGACUAGUAGAUAUGUAACCUGUCUAUUUGUUAUCUUUCCCUUGAGUUAGACUAUAUAAAAAACAAGUUCAGGUCUAUAUCUUUGGUAUCUAACCAUUUACGUAGAUUUAAGAUUUGAUUUUAAUACGAAUUACACUCUCCUUUCGCUCCAAAAGCGAUGUCAUGACUACCAAUUAUAGUUCAUAUUGUCACUUUGACGUGAUGACAAACAAGCAGCACAAUAAGUCAAUUUCCAAUUAUAGAGGUUUGAAGUAAAAUAGAAAAACAUCUUCGAGAGCGGAUUGUUGAAUAAAAGAUCCUGACAAUCAUAAAUUGUUUAAACGUAGAACUACACCGAUUAGCCACUUCGUUAAGGUGACAUUUGUAUUCACGCAUACAUCGAGAAAAUAACGAUGAUUUUAAUCAGACGAGUAAUUUAAAUUUACGUUAUAGUUAAGUGAGACUUCUCCGAAUAGGAGAAAGUGAUUGAUGUAUAAGCAAACUGGACAGUUUGUUAGGAUUCCUAGGGAAAUUUAACCAAGAUUUACAAAUACGUCGUAGUCACAAUAUACCAUGGUCUUUUGUACACCUCUCUUAUGAAUCAAGGCAACUCUUUUGUUAUCGACUUGAGAAGAUCCAAAACAAUCUAGUUGACCGAUGAAACUGUCUAAGAACGCACCGACACUGCCCAUCCAUGGUACGGGAGAGGGAGUAGGAAGGACAUGAGGGGAUAGAGAAUAAACGUGUGAGGGGUGGGUUAAAAAAAGGAAUAAACGUGUAGACAAUAUUGUCGUUACACUGUAAUACCAUACUAUAAACAUUAGUAGGUGAUUAUACCGUGGAAGUCAAGGUUUCAUUUAUCUAAAUAAACUGAGAAAAAACAAAUGUAGGUAGCACGUCUGUUACUAAUCUCCCUUUGUCAUCACUAUCGGACUGAAUAACUGAAUGAACCCGAACCAUGUCGCGACGGCAUAUGAAUCUCUGUGAUACGCUACGAUCUAAACCAUACUACACUACCACCGACACUUAGACCGUCACUUCCUCCAGUGCUGCCUCGCCGAAGAGGUAGUACCAAACCUCGGCUGGUUCCUUCAACGUCAAUAUGUCUCACACUCACGAAGUCUGAAAACUCUCGAGCUCCUCCUCCCCGCACACCUCCAACAACGGCAGUCACGGACGGGGUCGCCAGAGGUAACGGACGAGGCCGGUCUAAGUCAGCCUGGAUAGGAUAGCCAAGAGGUAGCGAAGUGAGACGAAGUACACGUAGACCCGUCUCCUCUGCUACUGGGCUGGACGGACCAGCGAGUGGUGACGGAGGGUCAGAGACAAGAAGUGGUCAGUGUGCAUGAGAAGGAAUACACCACAAACUCCGUCCUUCCCACUAAUCUUAGCUACUCCUCGUCGUUCUUUGUUGUUGAUAACGGCCGGAUCGACGAAUAUCCCUGUUGGUGUGCCACAUAAUCACAGAGCUAGAUUAAGUAAAUUGGUGUGUAUAUGGAACCUACUGGUCGUUCUUUUUAAAUUGGUAAUAUGGACAUUAUAGUUCACCUAAUAGAACCCAGAGAGUGAGAGAGGUUAGGUACCUACUAUACACACCGGGUUGAUAAUCGUUAGAACGUCCACAUCGAUUAUGUUAUUCAAACGCAAAGUGAAGUCUUAAGUCUCCUUGACUUGCAAAUAAAAUGUCAAGUUUGGUUAAUGACCAGAUAACGUUUUACUAUCAGAGCACCAUGAUAUCCAAUAGUUUUAUAUUAGAAGUGGUACCGGUUUCCAUUUUAAGCAAAUCCCAUAAUCAAACAAAGAAGGUGGUUCUGUUUCUCGACCACCGUAUUCCGCUACUCUACCCGAAGAUGUCGAGAAAUAAACCGUCAAGUGAAGAGCUUAGGGAAGAGACAACAGUACUUUAGAGCCGUUGUGUUUAAACACUAGAACGGUCCAUUAGUACGACUAACUCUUUCUUUACCAUGG
rnacentral:rRNA from 1 species